rnacentral:rRNA from 1 species
CCCUUAGACGUUCUGGGCCGCACGCGCGCUACACUGACCAGUGCAACAAGCAUCCGUCCUUGGCCGACAGGCUCGGGCAAUCUUUGAACGCUGGUCGUGAUGGGGAUAGACUUUUGCAAUUUUUGGUCUUCAACGAGGAAUUCCUAGUAAACGCAAGUCAUCAACUUGCAUUGAUUACGUCCCUGCCCUUUGUACGCACCGCCCGUCGCACCUACCGAUUGAAUGGUCCGGUGAAGCCUCCGGAUUGGCGCGCACCUCGGUGCCGCCGAGAAGUUGGCUAAACCUUACCAUUUAGAGGAAGGUGAAGUCGUAACA